ACAAAAACCGUGACCACCACUUCGGCUAUCCUGCUGAACACGGGCUAUUUAAAGACGACGUCCGGAAUCCUCAAGAUCUUGCAACUGAUUCUGGGAUGCGUCAUCGUCAGAUUGGUCGCCCACUAUUUCGUCCGCAGCAACCCGUAUUACUUCACGGCGGAGCUAUUUCUAUUAUUGAUCGCCACAACCUGUUUGAUCAGGACGACCUGCUUACUGAUAAGCUGCCUUUUGUCCAUCUCAACGGCCACCAUUAUCGCCAAGACCAGGUUUGUAAGUUUGAAUUU